UACGUAGGGGGCAAGCGUUGUCCGGAAUCAUUGGGCGUAAAGCGCGUGUAGGCGGCCAGAUAAGUCCGUUCUGAAAGCCCGGGGCUCAACCCCGGGAGGCGGAUGGAUACUGUUUGGCUCGAGUCCGGAAGAGGCGAGUGGAAUUCCCGGUGUAGCGGUGAAAUGCGUAGAUAUCAGGAGGAACACCUGUGGCGAAAGCGGCUCACUGGACCAUAACUGACGCUGAUGCACGAAAGCUAGGGGAGCAAACAGG
rnacentral:rRNA from 1 species